rnacentral:rRNA from 1 species
UAGCGUAUAUUUAAGUUGUUGCAGUUAAAAAGCUCGUAGUUGGAUUUCGGUUAAGAGCGACCGGUCCGCCGUUUGGUGUGCACUGGUUGGUUUUAACUUCCUGUAGAGGACGUGCUCUGGGCUUAACGGUCUGGACUCGGAGUCUACGUGGUUACUUUGAAAAAAUUAGAGUGUUCAAAGCGGGCUUACGCUUGAAUAUUUCAGCAUGGAAUAACACUAUAGGACUCCUGUCCUAUUUCGUUGGUCUCGGGACGGGAGUAAUGAUUAAGAGGAACAGUUGGGGGCAUUCGUAUUUCAUUGUCAGAGGUGAAAUUCUUGGAUUUAUGAAAGACGAACUUCUGCGAAAGCAUUUGCCAAGGAUGUUUUCAUUAAUCAAGAACGAAAGUUGGGGGCUCGAAGAUGAUUAGAUACCAUCCUAGUCUCAACCAUAAACGAUGCCGACUAGGGAUUGGCGGAUGUUAAUUGAUGACUCCGCCAGCACCUUAUGAGAAAUCAAAGUUUUUGGGUUCCGGGGGGAGUAUGGUCGCAAGGCUGAAACUUAAAGGAAUU